rnacentral:rRNA from 1 species
GACGAACGCUGGCGGCGUGCCUAAUACAUGCAAGUCGAACGCAGUGGGGACGGGUGCGUAACACGUGGGUAACCUCCCAUCAGAGGGGAUAACACUUGGAAACAGGUGCUAAACCGCUACUGAUGUAUGAACCCGCGGUGCAUGAGCUAGUUGGUGGGGGAAAGGCUCACAAAGGCCACGAGGCAUAGCCGGCCUGAGAGGGUGACCAGCCACACUGGGACGGAGACACGGCCCAGACUCCUACGGGAGGCAGCAGGUGGGAAUCUUCGGCAAUGGGCGAAAGUCUGACCGAGCAACGCCGCGUGAGUGAAGAAGGUUUUCGGAUCGUAAAACUCUGUUGUUAGAGAAGCGGUAUCUAAACAGAAAGCCACGGCUAACUACGUGCCAGCAGCCGCGGUAAUAC